UGGUUCUGGCAUCGAUGAAGAACGCAGCGAAAUGCGAUAAGUAAUGCGAAUUGCAGAAUUCCGUGAGUCAUCGAAUCUUUGAACGCACAUUGCGCCCUUUGGCAUUCCGAAGGGCAUGCCUGUUCGAGCGUCAUUAUCAACCCUCAAGCUUGGCUUGUUGUUGGACCGAAGGGAAGUUGACUCUUCCCUGGUCUUGAAGACAAUGACGGCGUCUAGAGGACCCUCAACACAAUGAGCUUUUUAAGCACGUGUUGUAGUGGAUCUUUAGGCCCGGUCUCCUUUUAUUUUUUCAGGUUGACCUCGGAUCAGGUAGGGAUACCCGCUGA
rnacentral:misc_RNA from 1 species